AUCAAAGAUAUGUUCAAAUUACCGAUUUCUGAAUAGUUAAAAGUUAGAUAUAAUGUUUUACAAAACCACAGAUAAUAUCAAUUAUCAAUAUCCUGUAUAGAAAUUAAGGUAUUGAUUAUUUAGUUGUUUUAUUUUUUUUUAUGUAUUUCCUACAAUGUACUAAAUCUUAUUUUAUGUAUUUCUAUACAAUGUACUAAAUCAAGUACUGAAUAAAUGAAUAAUCUCAUUAGUGAAAACUUUCUGAGAGUCUAAAUUGAGCCUUUACCAAUUGCAGAGACAUAUAAAACAAUUGUAUUAUAUGUCUCUGCCAAUUGUUAUAAUUGCGUUUGUGCUAAUAAAAUAUUGUCUUUUGUCUAUUGUCUACUACGGUUCUGGGAACAGUAUAUCAAUAUAUAUGUUCCUGUACGGUUGCAAUCUUUCUUGCAUUGCUAUCCUGCACUUUGAUUACUGUCCGAUAUAAUUUUGUGUGCAUUUUCGGUUAUAGUCAUAAUUCAAAUAGGUUCUGUAUUUGAAUAAUCUAACCGAUGUGGACGCAACAUAUAAUCGCGCGAGAUACGACUGCUGCUGUAAACAAAUUCAACCUUUACCAGUCAGUUCCACUGAAAAAAACAAAAAAAACAGAUGAUCCUUGAUUGUUUGGAAAAUAGGCACAGAGCAUGAUGUCCAUUGAAUCAUUAGAUAAAAAGUUAAAGAUGAUUUACACAUUAGUGGAAUAUUUGGAAACCAGUGGAAAUAUGAGGCUGAUCAAACAACAGUGUGCAAGAUAUUCACA